rnacentral:lncRNA from 1 species
UCAGCCAAAUGGGUGACCUUGUCAUAAAAUGAAAUUAAGUUAGUGAAACAGGAUCUUCCCCUCAUGAACCCGUGCUGGUUGUGACCAGUGACCUCACUGUCUUGAGGUGUUUUUCAAUAAUUCCCAGCAUAAUUUUCUCCCUAAUUUUUACAGGUGCUGAAGUGAGAUUGACAGGCCUCUAAUUACCAGGAUCUUUUUUUCUUGACCUUCUUGAAUAUUGGAUCAUUUACCACUUGACUGGGACCUCUCCAGAGUCCCAAGAGCCUUGAAAAAUAGUUGAGAGAAUUCUUGUGAUGUCGGCCAGUUGAGUAGCCUUAGUACAUGGAGCCUCAUAAACUUAUCUGCAUCCAAACAGUGGGUGUGAGCACAGUGAGGUGGUGGGUAGCACAUUUCUGCAGUGGUGACAGCAACAGUAGGUCAUCCUCACUGGUGUAGAUUUUUACAAGCGUGGCAUCCAGGCUUUUGUUUAUCACUUGUGAAAAUGCAUAACUAAUGAUGAUGAGUGUACUGAAAAGUAGUGUUUUAUAGCUGAGAAUGUGCUGUAUCAAAUAACACUGUUUUGCUCUUUGCAUUUGUUGUAGUCUCCAUAGAAAUAAACAGGAGGCAUUACUUUUGGGGCAAUCUAUGUAUUUGAUUAGACUAUCAAUACAUACAAAAGGAGUGUAUAAGUCUAAAGAAGAAGAGCAACUUUAACUCAGUAAGCAAUGGAGGACCUGAAAGCUGUAGAAUAUUUCUUUCCCUCCUCCUGAGAUGCACCUGCACUCUGGUUUUGAUUUUGAAUUCUCAACGUAAUGGCACACUUGCACAUGAGAGUGGACUCUUCCCUAUCUGCUUCAGGGAUGAAAACACACUGUCCAUGGCACAGUAUCUCUAAUGCAUGUGGUGGGGACCCCAAAGUUCAGACCCAGAAGGAAAGGAAAUCUGGAUAGGAAAGAGACAAGAGAAGAUGGAGCCCAUGAAAACAGCUAAAAGGAAAGAAAGAGAAGACUUUUAAGAAGGAAAACUUUACUUGUAUGGAGAUAUGUAGGGUAGACUGGCAAGGGGGAAAGAAGCAAAAGUAAUAGGUAAAGCAAGUGGAAGGAAAAAAGUGGGAAGAUGGAAUAAAAGAGUUUAUAAAGAUAGUUGGAAUUGUUAA